rnacentral:lncRNA from 1 species
UAGGGACUCGAAGUUUUAAGACACUGGGAAAUGAACAGAAUAAAAGGAGGGCCUUGGCAAUGUGAAGACUUAAAUAAAGAACUGAAGAGCUCCAUGAGACAGAAAGCUUGGCAGCCUUCCCACAAUCCUCAGCAUGUGGGAAUAGCAAGUAACAAAGUGUUAACACCUGCCAACUGGUGGUUAGGUGUAAAUGUCUCUGUUAACAACAAACACUGCUGCUAGCAGUCAUCAGAGCAAAACAGCAAAGCUGCUCCUUCCUCCGAAGUGGAAAACACCACUAGGAUAAAAAAAAAAGUCACCUAAUUACUUGAUUAAGAUGUAUCAAUCCUGGAAAUUGUUGAUCUAGAACACUGAGUCUCUGACAUUCAGUUCAUUCUUGAUUAAACAGAAUUGUUGAAAUCCUCCUCUUGUGUGCUACCUCAGAACAGUCUACCAUCUAGAGAGAUGCAACAGUGAAACUUUUUUUAUGGAUUGGAGGAAACAAAUUAAAGGCAAUUUGGGGCCAACUCUUUUCAGCUCUUUGAAUAAACUCCAUCAGAAAACCUCUGUG